UGUCACCAUGGUGUAGAGAGGAGGUGUGUCACCAUGGUGUAGAGGAGAUGUGUCACCAUGGUGUAGAGAGGAGGUGUGUCACCAUGGUGUAGAGAGGAGGUGUGUCACCAUGGUGUAGAGAGGAGGUGUGUCACCAUGGUGUAGAGAGGAGGUGUGUCACCAUGGUGUAGAGAGGAGAUGUGUCACCAUAGUGUAGAGAGGAGGUGUGUUACCAUGGUGUAGAGAGGAGGUGUGUCACCAUGGUGUAGAGGAGAGGAGGUGUGUCACCAUGGUGUAGAGAGGAGGUGUGUCACCAUGGUGUAGUGGAGGAGGUGUGUCACCAUGGUGUAGAGAGGAGGUGUGUCACCAUGGUGUAGAGAGGAGGUGUGUCACCAUGGUGUAGAGGAGAGGAGGUGUGUCACCAUGGUGUAGAGGAGAGGAGGUGUGUCACCAUGGUGUAGUGGAGGAGGUGUGUCACCAUGGUGUAGAGAGGAGGUGUGUCACCAUGGUGUAGAGGAGGUGUGUCACCAUGGUGUAGAGAGGAGGUGUGUCACCAUGGUGUAGAGGAGAGGAGGUGUGUCACCAUGGUGUAGAAAAUGGGAGGUGUGUUUAUCAGCUUUAUUUUUUUGCUCAUUGUUAUUCCCCCGUUGUUAUGUCAGUUUCAAGUAGUAUGCACAUAUUUAUGUGUAUCAGACCAUGUGUGUGUAUGUGUGUAUGUGAGUGUGCAUGUGUGUAUGUAAGUGUGCUUGUGUGCACGCCUCAGAUGUUCUGCGGGUGGUUGAGUGUGUUAAAACUCUUUCCCCAGUUCUAUAAAGAUUAAUUUACUGUUUAAUUUAAUGUCCUUCCAUGAUAAAAUAUAGAAAAUCUUUAAUUGAAAUUUGGGUAACAUUUUAGGGCUAAGGGUUGUAACAAAGAGUGUAUCACAAAAAAAUACAAACAAGAAAGAUAUAUAUAUAUAAAUACUCUUACAGUGCAUUUACUAAAGGUCAGCAUACAGUGUAUAGCUGUGGUGUUUCAACACAAAGUGUGCACUCCCAAAUAAAUUAAGUUAAAUUCACUGCAACUUCUUUCUUUAAAUAUAUAACAUAUCUUGAUUAAAUGUAUCAUCUGUUGAGGUACAUGCAAUUUACAUUUUAUGCCAGGACUUUAUAUCCCUGUAUCUGGCCCUUUCUGUAAAAUGUUACCAAAAUUUUUACAUCACAGAAAUAACACAAAAAAUGAAUAACUGUACAGAUUGUGUAAAUAUAAAUAUGGAAAAAUGAUGACACUUAUUCCUUCAUUUUUUGUAUGGAAAUAAUUAAAUAAACAACAAUAAUAAAUUAACAAAUUCAUUGCAAAAAAAAAAAGAAAAUACAAAAAAAAAACAUUCAUAACGGUACUUAUAAUAUAUACUGACAUGUACAAUGAUAAGUGCGAAAAUCUGAUUCUGUCUCUUUGUACAAAAUGAACCAACUAAGAAAGUGUUGAGUAUUAAUAAAAAAAGAUAAGCCUCA